GUUUGAUCCUGUGCUCAGAAUGAACGCUGGCGGUAGGCCUUAAACAUGCAAGUCGAGCGAAGUCUUGGGGCUUAGCGGCGAACGUGUGAGUAACGCGUGGUAACGUGCCCUUCAGUACGGAAUAGCCUAGGGAAACUUGGAUUAAUGCCGUAUGCGCCCUUCGGGGGAAAGAUUUAUCGCUGAGGGAUCGGCCCGCGUCUGAUUAGGUAGUUGGUGGGGUAACGGCCCACCAAGCCGACGGAUCAGUAGCUGGUUUGAGAGGAUGAUCAGCCACACUGGGACUGAGACACGGCCCAGACUCCUACGGUAGGCAGCAGUUAGGAAUCUUGGACAAUGGGGGAAACCCUGAUCCAGCCAUGCCGCGUGAGUGAAAAAGGCCCUAGGGUUGUAAAACUCUUUCAACGGUGAAGAUAAUGACGGUAGCCGUAGAAGAAGCCCCGGCUAACUCCGUGCCAGCAGCCGCGGUAAUACGGAGGGGGCUAGCGUUGUUCGGAAUUACUGGUCGUAAUGCGCGCGUAGGCGGAUUGGUUAGUCAGGGGUGAAAUCCCGGAGCUCAACUCCGGAACUGCCCUUGAUACUGCCAGUCUCGAGUUCUGGAGAGGUGAGUGGAAUUCCGAGUGUAGAGGUGAAAUUCGUAGAUAUUCGGAGGAACACCAGUGGCGAAGGCUGCUCACUGGCCAGACACUGACGCUGAGGCGCGAUAGCGUGGGGAGUCAACAGGAUUAGAUACCCUGGUAGUCAGGUGCGACUG
rnacentral:rRNA from 1 species